UUUCCGUAGGUGAACCUGCGGAAGGAUCAUUACCGAACCGUCGACACGAGUUGUUGCUGGCCCCUCUGACGGGGGGCAUGUGCACGCUCUGUUUACACAUCCACUCACACCUGUGCACCCUCUGUGGUUCUAUGGCUCGAGGGGCCUCGUCCCUCUACCGUGGUUCUACGUUUUUACACACACCCUGUAGUGAAGUCUUAUGGAAUGUGUGCCGCGUUUAACGCAAUGAAAUACAACUUUCAGCAACGGAUCUCUUGGCUCUC
rnacentral:misc_RNA from 1 species